AGAGGGCCCGCCCACCGCUCCAAGCGCCAGGAAGACGCCGGCCAACGAGAGGCCGUGGAGCUAGAGAGGAUACCCGCGCCCUGAGCGGCGCCCCCGUGCGGCAAGCGAAAGGCCAGUCUCUCCGGAUUGCAGCCCAGGGGGCCAAGGAGAACAGCGAGCCGCCCGCCCAUGCCCGCCCGCAAACAAGCAAGGAAGCAACCUGGAACACCUAUCCAGAGGGUUGGAGGGAAAGGUGAGACAAUUAUUGUGCAGAAAGGGAAAGGGCUCUGGCAGAUGCGCAACCCUCCACCUGGAUUUUCUUCACUUAGUACUCACUAGUGCCACCCCAGCACCUGCCUGUCCCCAAAUACUCAGUCGACCUCAGAGAGCAACUACUGCUGCCUUAGGACACCGUGGACACUGGACAUUUGCCACAAGGGCAGUAACUUCUUGACCUCUGUUCCCAUCACUUGCCCCUACAGGCCCACUUCCACGUUCCUUGGAAGUGGCGGGAACCCCUAGGCAAAAAGUGGAAAGGUGCCCUGUGUGCAUUAAGCUGCACCUCCGACACUGCUGGGUCUCCCAAAUGCUUACAUGUGCUCAAGAACCAGGGCCUGGAGCAGGAAUGCUUUUUAAUAGACAUCUCUAAGGACCACAAAGCCAGUUUUCUUCAAAGGAAUACAAUGCAGAUAGUUUCUGCUUUGUGGCUCUGUUAGGACCACUUUCAUGGAAUCUUGCAGGGAUGGGCUCUAUACUAUUCCAUCUUGUGUCUUCAGGUUUGCCCCCAGGUAGGUGUAGUGGGAGGGUUGGAGACCAAACAGAUCGAGUGUAAACUGGCUUGAACAAGCAUGAUGACUGAUCUUGGCAAGUAGUCUGUAAAAUGGGGCUGGUAUGCUGGGCACUGGGGAAGAUCACAGGAGUGUCACUACAAAUGGGAGUUAGAAUGGGGGAACCCCACAUGCCCAGUCUCUUUAGUUGAGGGUCCUUAAAUGAAACACACACACACACACACACACACACACACACACACAAAACCAAACCCAGCAGCAAUGUUUUUCUGCAAGUUGAGAUUUUAACUUUGGGGUAGUGUAAGGCCAGGUGCUUGGAGGGGUGAAAGGCAUUUAAGGACAGGGCUGAGAGUGGACCAGGAAGCCCGAGGAAGCACAGAAUGGGAGACCAAGGGGACCGAGGGAAGCCCCACUGCAGUUAGAUGACCCUCAGCCCUGGGACUGACUGCCUUUAGACCUCUCCCAGCAGGCUGACUGGGUCUAGGGCUGAGGGGCGCCUCCCAGUGGGAGGAGUCAGGCACUCCCCCUCUGACCUCCAGGUAAUUCCAGCCCAUUUGUGGCACCUCCUCAAGGGAGCUGCUUCUCAUCAUGAAAGAGGCAUUUCUGGAAUACAGAAUGGGUAUUUUUUAGUUGAACUCUACCAGCUAAGAAAUACUUCCUCCUAACAAAAUUAUUUUAAUAACCUAAAUUUAAAAGUAGUCUCCAGUGUCUCAAAUUCUUCCUUAGAUAACCCCAAUGCAUAACAAACACCCCAAGUCCUGUGGACUGGCAACCGGAGUGGCUCAGAGGCCAGAGGAGCAGGAGGCUACCAUGCCUCAAUGGGGUUUGAGCUUUGUGGGAAAAAUAUGAUUAGUACCAAUACGGUCCUGCUACCCCACACCUCAUGGAAGUCAAUCAAAGCAGAAAAGACCUGGGAUUCGCCAGUCCUUCAACAAACUGCUUCCUGGCUUUCAGUCUCUUCUCACCCUGAAUUAAAGCCCAUUGGGAAGCAGGGUCUGGUCUCAAAGGAAAACCCUAAAGCAGAACACCGUUGGGAUCAAGUGCAACCUUGAGAGCCACAAUCCGCCCUCUGAGGUUCUGCCCCUUUCCAAGGACAAUUCAAAACUAUCGAGGCAGCAACGAAGUUUUAUUAUUACUCUCACUUGGAAUUCAUAGAUGUGGAGCAGCCCAAAAACCUCCCGAGGGGGUGGGAAAGGCCAAGGUCAGACCUCUUGCACCCCUUCGCUGGGCCUCCCUAACCUCUGCUAGCAAUUAGGGAAAACUCAGGGGUCGUGGGCUAAAAGGCUUGGACCUCACACACACCCUGGCCCAAGGCUUACUGGAGAGAACGCAGUGGCACAUUCCAGUGGCACUGUUUCCUUGGGCUGCCCCAGGCUGCACUACAGGAAGGGAAGGGCCAAUAAACCCACCCACCCCGCUCCAGGUUGCCUGAUACCCAGAGGCUGUGCUCUUAACCAUCUGUGGGAUUAAAAUACGUGAAUGAAACGGUUACACCCACCAUUCCCUGUGGCUAGAAUAUAAAUCCCUAGGAACAUAAAUCUAGCAAUUUUUUUAUAGCUAACAAAAGCUUCAAACACUUUAUUUUUAAAAAAUCUGAUUUUUACCACUUUGACAUUGUAUAUAAAGCCAGCUCUAACAAAAAUCUGCUUACAUACCAGUCAGAAUUUAGAAUUAAUUUCCAGGUGGCUAUUUCAUGAUUAUCCAAAAGAGAAUAGCCAGCCACCCUCAAACCCCAGGAGCUUCCCUCUCUGAUUAGCACAUGAAUCUCCCCAUCAGCAGCCACAGCUAAUCCCAGGAGGGCCACCCAGAACUAGUCCCCCGCCCCCGCUGUUCAAAACUAAUGUAAAUCCUAUCAGAGGCUUACAUCUCUCACUCAUCCAAUGUAUAAAACUGGUAGCAAAACACCGGACAGAUGAGUGUCUGGCUUUCCCUCUUAGCCUGGCUGCAGGUGGUUUAGACUCCGCACCCCAAAACUGGUUGCCCUUUUUUUUUCUUCUUUUUUUUUCUUUUCUGGCUCGCUAAAACAAAACGGUAAAAACAAGAAAGGUGUCUGGCAGAAACACCAAAAACAACAGAGGCUGAGCUCUUAGGGAUUCUGAAAGUAUACCCUAAAGGUUCUCAUUCUGCAUUUCAAAAAAAUCAAUACCAAUUAAUCAUCCUUCCAUAACAGGGAUUUUUGAGUUCCAUACUAAACCAACUGCUUCCAAAAUGUAGGAACCCAAGGAAAAACAAGAGCACCCAACUCUGUCUAUAAAGGUGGAAUGGUUGGUUGUGCAGAGGAAUGAGAAAACCUGGGAGCCUGUCAGACACAAAAUUCCUCUCCCUCCAACACAAAGUACUCAAAGCAUGAAGAUGAUUUCAAAGUCAAAAAAGGCAAAAUUUUGCAAGUGUUUUUAAAAAAGGGGAAAAUAUGGUCAUUAACUGAAAAAUGUCUCAUCUUCAUUCAGUGGCGCCACCUUUGGCCAAACAUCCUAUUACAACAUCUGGGCCAUGCAAAAAGAAUCCUUAAAACAUA